rnacentral:rRNA from 1 species
GAUGAACGCUGGCGGUGUGCCUAAUACAUGCAAGUCGAGCGAACGGACGAGAAGCUUGCUUCUCUGAUGUUAGCGGCGGACGGGUGAGUAACACAUGGAUAACCUACCUAUAAGACUGGGAUAACUUCGGGAAACCGGAGCUAAUACCGGAUAAUAUUUUGAACCGCAUGGUUCAAAAGUGAAAGACGGUCUUGCUGUCACUUAUAGAUGGAUCCGCGCUGCAUUAGCUAGUUGGUAAGGUAACGGCUUACCAAGGCAACGAUGCAUAGCCGACCUGAGAGGGUGAUCGGCCACACUGGAACUGAGACACGGUCCAGACUCCUACGGGAGGCAGCAGUAGGGAAUCUUCCGCAAUGGGCGAAAGCCUGACGGAGCAACGCCGCGUGAGUGAUGAAGGUCUUCGGAUCGUAAAACUCUGUUAUUAGGGAAGAACAUAUGUGUAAGUAACUGUGCACAUCUUGACGGUACCUAAUCAGAAAGCCACGGCUAACUACGUG